rnacentral:rRNA from 1 species
UACGUAGGGGGCAAGCGUUGUCCGGAAUCAUUGGGCGUAAAGAGCGCGUAGGCGGUCCGGUAAGUCCGCUCUGAAAGUCCGGGGCUCAACCCCGGGAGGCGGGCGGAUACUGUCGGGCUAGAGUCCGGAAGAGGCGAGUGGAAUUCCUGGUGUAGCGGUGAAAUGCGUGGAUAUCGGGAGGAACACCUGUGGCGAAAGCGGCUCACUGGACCACAACUGACGCUGAGGCGCGAAAGCUAGGGGAGCAAACAGG